UCUCGGGUUAUAGUAAUAUAGAUACAUAUUUAUGGACUUUCAAAUGUGUGUUCUUCACUUGACGCUGCAACAUCGUAGAAAUACUCAAGCAACCUAGUACUUGAAGAAAUCGAGGUUACCGGCAAGUGCAUUCGCGGCAGCGCUUUUGUUAAAAGGACUUUUUGGUAACUGUAACCGGUGUUAAGAUGUUCCAAUUAAAAUUUAAAUCACACCCCAACAAUGCAGCUCUGCACCCGUUCUUCCAUUUCUACAGAUCUGUCAAAUCAGCAACGAAAAGACUAAACGGAAGCUGUGAAAUGAACAAUUGCGAAUUUCAGAUUUGAAAUUUGAAAUUAUGUUAAAAGUUUGCGUUUAAAAGUUGUUAAAUUAUAGUUAAUAACUAGCAAAAUGUCGUGUCCGGGACGUUUAAAUGCCGCGUUCGGUACGUUAAAAUGUCGCGUUCGGUACGUGCGUCGCGUUAUUCGGGUUAUCCUAAUAGACAUUUCGCCAAUUUAAAUUCCAAUAGGAGCGCCAGCCUAAUGCUUUUUGAAUUUUUGUGUAAAUAUGAAUAGCAAAGGCAGCCGCAAAUAUAAGCGUAUGUUCUAGAAACAGUUGUCACCACCGGCUAGCGCACUCGCGGCAAGGCUUUGUUUGUGUGGGUAAGUCUGUUCGGUUUCCACUAUUAGUG